rnacentral:rRNA from 1 species
UAGGUAGGGUGCGAGCGUUAAUCGGAAUUACUGGGCGUAAAGCGUGCGCAGGCGGUUUUGUAAGCCAGAUGUGAAAUCCCCGGGCUCAACCUGGGAACUGCAUUUGUGACUGCAUAGCUAGAGUACGGUAGAGGGGGAUGGAAUUCCGCGUGUAGCAGUGAAAUGCGUAGAUAUGCGGAGGAACACCGAUGGCGAAGGCAAUCCCCUGGACCUGUACUGACGCUCAUGCACGAAAGCGUGGGGAGCAAACAGG